rnacentral:rRNA from 1 species
AUUGAACGCUGCGGCAGGCCUAACCCAUGCAAGUCGAGCGGAUGAAGGGAGCUUGCUCCUGGAUUCAGCGGCGGACGGGUGAGUAAUGCCUAGGAAUCUGCCUGGUAGUGGGGGAUAACGUCCGGAAACGGGCGCUAAUACCGCAUACGUCCUGAGGGAGAAAGUGGGGGAUCUUCGGACCUCACGCUAUCAGAUGAGCCUAGGUCGGAUUAGCUAGUUGGUGGGGUAAAGGCCUACCAAGGCGACGAUCCGUAACUGGUCUGAGAGGAUGAUCAGUCACACUGGAACUGAGACACGGUCCAGACUCCUACGGGAGGCAGCAGUGGGGAAUAUUGGACAAUGGGCGAAAGCCUGAUCCAGCCAUGCCGCGUGUGUGAAGAAGGUCUUCGGAUUGUAAAGCACUUUAAGUUGGGAGGAAGGGCAGUAAGUUAAUACCUUGCUGUUUUGACGUUACCAACAGAAUAAGCACCGGCUAACUUCGUG